rnacentral:rRNA from 1 species
AGUGAACGCUGGCGGUAGGCCUAACACAUGCAAGUCGAACGGCAGCACAGUAAGAGCUUGCUCUUACGGGUGGCGAGUGGCGGACGGGUGAGGAAUACAUCGGAAUCUACUUUUUCGUGGGGGAUAACGUAGGGAAACUUACGCUAAUACCGCAUACGACCUACGGGUGAAAGCAGGGGAUCUUCGGACCUUGCGCGAUUGAAUGAGCCGAUGUCGGAUUAGCUAGUUGGCGGGGUAAAGGCCCACCAAGGCGACGAUCCGUAGCUGGUCUGAGAGGAUGAUCAGCCACACUGGAACUGAGACACGGUCCAGACUCCUACGGGAGGCAGCAGUGGGGAAUAUUUGACAAUGGGCGCAAGCCUGAUCCAGCCAUACCGCGUGGGUGAAGAAGGCCUUCGGGUUGUAAAGCCCUUUUGUUGGGAAAGAAAAGCAGCAGGUUAAUACCCCGCUGUUCGGACGGGACCCAAAGAAUAAGCACCGGCUAACUUCGG